rnacentral:rRNA from 1 species
CUAUACAUGCAGUCGAGCGAACUGAUUAGAAGCUUGCUUCUAUGACGUUAGCGGCGGACGGGUGAGUAACACGUGGGCAACCUGCCUGUAAGACUGGGAUAACUUCGGGAAACCGAAGCUAAUACCGGAUAGGAUCUUCUCCUUCAUGGGAGAUGAUUGAAAGAUGGUUUCGGCUAUCACUUACAGAUGGGCCCGCGGUGCAUUAGCUAGUUGGUGAGGUAACGGCUCACCAAGGCAACGAUGCAUAGCCGACCUGAGAGGGUGAUCGGCCACACUGGGACUGAGACACGGCCCAGACUCCUACGGGAGGCAGCAGUAGGGAAUCUUCCGCAAUGGACGAAAGUCUGACGGAGCAACGCCGCGUGAGUGAUGAAGGCUUUCGGGUCGUAAAACUCUGUUGUUAGGGAAGAACAAGUACGAGAGUAACUGCUCGUACCUUGACGGUACCUAACCAGAAAGCCACGGCUAACUACGUGCCAGCAGCCGCGGUAAUACGUAGGUGGCAAGCGUUAUCCGGAAUUAUUGGGCGUAAAGCGCGCGCAGGCGGUUUCUUAAGUCUGAUGUGAAAGCCCACGGCUCAACCGUGGAGGGUCAUUGGAAACUGGGGAACUUGAGUGCAGAAGAGAAAAGCGGAAUUCCACGUGUAGCGGUGAAAUGCGUAGAGAUGUGGAGGAACACCAGUGGCGAAGGCGGCUUUUUGGUCUGUAACUGACGCUGAGGCGCGAAAGCGUGGGGAGCAAACAG